GGUGGCUCAGGAGAAGCUGUAUGCGCUAUGAGAUUUAAAGUCUGGGGACAGUCGGAGAGAACAAGGAGUUUCUUGGUUUGGUGAGGACUGCUGUUUUGGGUUUCUUUCAUGCUUUUGCAUGGAUUAAUCAGCCCAGUGAUUGUAUAUUUCUAUAAGUUUGUACGUUUUAUACAUCCGUAUCAGCCAUUUCUGAAUAUCAACCAUAUUCAAGCAGAUAAGGAGGAAGAUGAACUCUCAUGCAAAUAAGGCAACAACGGAGUCACUAAAGCUAAUAAUGGCCAGUUGCUUCUGCAUCUCAUUUGUGACCCAACAUCUUCUGCCACUUACAUCAGACUGAACCCAGAGGUACUGUGAGACCUAUAGUGGGACUAUCCUCAUUUUGCACAGCCGGAGAGACCAGCAUGAACUGACCCUUCGGGCCCAUGGUUUGACUCCCUUAUAUGGAGAAAUCAGAUGCAGAUGCAAGUGCACACAUCUGUAAUGACGAGCAGGAUCGAUGAGAGCAUUAAUUCCCCCAGUUGUUUAAUGCAGUGGACGUGUUUCUCUAGAGAGCUGAGUUCAAAUUCAAUUUAGAUGACAAGUCAAAAUAAUAGUGGCCAUUUUUUUUUUCCUUCCAAGGAGAUAUCCAUCUACCUCCAGAUACCAUGACAUAAUUGGCAAUAUCUUCUCAAGAAAAAUCAGGUCUGAGAUUGGUAGGGACUGCUGCAUGCUGAACCUUGAACCAGGACUUCCUGCACCGCUCCUUACUCCAGCUGGUACUUCUGGCUCCAAAGAGCACGAA
ensembl:lncRNA